rnacentral:lncRNA from 1 species
GAGGAAGUGGGCCUGACAGAAAAAGGAGAAGCUAGACCCCUGGACUUGAAAUAUGAAAAAUAAAAAGCGCAGCCCUUGGCUUCGCUCUCUAGUGAGGCUUUGGGAACCCUGCCGGAGUCGGAAGGAGUAGACGGAGAGAGAAAAGGGCCUCCUCACACACCCUGGACCCUUGGCCCACUCCUGCCGCGCCCCCGCCUCCCACGACUGGCACCCCCGGGCCGCCCCAAUCCUUCAGCAACCGGUCCCCUCCCCUCGCCUCCCUCCUUCUCGGGCCCCAGCUUCCUCUCUGCCUUCCGCCGCCCGCUUCUCUCGGCACACACACGGUUUCUCUCUGCUCUUCGCAAUCCCCGCUGUCUCCCCACACCGUGGAUCGAACCCUCACCGGCAUCUUGGCGGCGCCCGGGUUUCAACCCAGAGGAGCAGGAUCCAGGUACAGCGGAGCGCUUCCGGUCUGGCAGCCUGGGCGAGGUCUUCUCCAUAUUGAAUGGCAAAAUCAAUAUGCUGCAAUACAAUGUUCAUGCUUUCUUCAUCUGACUGAUCGUAAGCAGAUCCAUUUUUGUCAUGAUGUUGACUUGCGGAAUUUCUAGAGAGAUCAUGGCACUCAGGGCUGCCAAGAUGCCAGAAAUAAACUGAAGGAGGAAACAGAAAAGGGAAGAUGAACUGACUGUUGCCAACAGUUACCUGGUCUGCAUAAAGAGUCUUCUAUUCCUCACUGGAACAGAACUGGCCUAAAUAAAAGAAAUGCAAGCUGG